rnacentral:rRNA from 1 species
GUACAUCGGGGAGGGCAGGGGGGGGAGGGCGGAGGGGGGAGGGGUUGUUCGGAAUGACUGGGGGUGAAGGUGGCGUAGGUGGGUCGUUAUAGCCGGAAGUGAAAUCCCGCCGCUCAACGGGGGGGCUGCUGGGGAAACGGGAGGUCUGGGGACCGGUAGAGGGCGGUAGAAUGCCCGGUGUAGCGGUGGAAUGCGUAGAGAUCGGGAAGAACACCCGUGGCGAAGGCGGCCGACUGGGCCGGAUCCGACGCUGAUGCGCGAAAGCGUGGGGAGCAAACAGGAUUAGAUACCCGUGUAGUC